GCCAGCACCCAUAUCACCCUGCAGCUCUCAAAUGGCUACACACUGAAGCUCAACAGGGUUGAGCCUGGUCAGUACCUGGAUGGGAGACCUCCUGGGAAGCAAUGGUUGCUGCUGGAA
rnacentral:rRNA from 1 species